GAAAACUGUUGAGGAAUUCUCAUUUGUGUUAGAGCAGAGGAGGUCCCAGAUACCAAGUGGCCCCUCCCAGGAAAGGGUGGGAGAAGAGGACCUGAAGUACCCUGAGAUCCUAGCAGUGCACACAGUGGAGGGAUGAGGAUGGAUGAGUCCUACCCCCAAUUUUGAUGGGAUGUGUUCAUGUCCUGUCUCCUCUCUUGGACAUAUUAAGGGGUUGGGACAAGAAGAGACUCCUGUGAGAUCAGCAGACCUUGUAUUUGAGGAGAGAAUACCAGCCUGUAACACCCAUGGAAGGGAUGCCUCCUGGCCCCACCUGCCAAAUACCUCCAAACUCCAGGCAGUCGCCUGCAUUCUCAACACAGGACUCUCCUUGCAGUUUCCCGCUCAGUGAUCGCUACCAGGGUCGUUUCUGAAUGUAGACCCACCACGAGGGACGGAUUCCAUCCGCCCGCCCUGCUGCAGAUCUGCCGCAUAGCAGGCACGUGUCUUGGAGAGAACAGCUCUGAGCACAGCAUCCUUGGAGCCCUCAGUCCGCUCAGGGGCCUCACCGGUGCUGAUUAUGCCGUCAUGCCGCUUGCCUGUGACAGUAUCCCAGCUACAACAGGACGCUGGGUUCAGGAAGAUGUGGCUAUCACCUUGAGCACUGACAGUGGCCUUCUGGGCCAGUUGCCUUCCAAACCCAGGAAGCUG